rnacentral:rRNA from 5 species
AGACCCGAAACCCGGUGAUCUAGCCAUGGGCAGGUUGAAGGUUGGGUAACACUAACUGGAGGACCGAACCGACUAAUGUUGAAAAAUUAGCGGAUGACCUGUGGCUGGGGGUGAAAGGCCAAUCAAACCGGGAGAUAGCUGGUUCUCCCCGAAAGCUAUUUAGGUAGCGCCUCGUGAAUUCAUCUCCGGGGGUAGAGCACUGUUUCGGCUAGGGGGCCAUCCCGGCUUACCAACCCGAUGCAAACUGCGAAUACCGGAGAAUGUUAUCACGGGAGACACACGGCGGGUGCUAACGUCCGUCGUGAAGAGGGAAACAACCCAGACCGCCAGCUAAGGUCCCAAAGUCAUGGUUAAGUGGGAAACGAUGUGGGAAGGCCCAGACAGCCAGGAUGUUGGCUUAGAAGCAGCCAUCAUUUAAAGAAAGCGUAAUAGCUCACUGGUCGAGUCGGCCUGCGCGGAAGAUGUAACG